CUGGUUUAAGUUUUUCUUCUUUUUGCUUAAACCGAUUUGGAUUUUCCCCUUUUUUUGCCUGAUUCGAAUCGGGUCACACUUCUGCAUUAGGCGCAAUUAUUUCUCUUCCUCUUCCUCUUUCUUCUGCUAUUAUCUUCCUUCAUCGACAAGAUGAAUCUCACCGAUCACCAUCAAUCGCUUCUUCCAUUACUGUUUUCUCUUUCUUCGUCACCAUUUUUUAUUUUUUUUAAUUAUCUAUCCGUCGCAUCGCACGGGUUACUGUACUUGAGAGUUUAUUAAAGAGAGUUGAGACCAUAAGGGGUAUUUUGAAAAAUGAAAGAUAAAUUUUAAAUUUUAUAAUAUUAGGUAGGAAUAUUUAAA
rnacentral:lncRNA from 1 species